rnacentral:rRNA from 1 species
UGUUUUACAAAAACAUGUCUUUGUGAAGAUUUACACAGUYUGGCCUGCCCACUGAAUUAUUGAAGGGCCGCGGUAUUUCUGACCGUGCGAAGGUAGCAUAAUCAUUAGUCUUUUAAUUGGAGGCUCGUAUGAAAGGUCGAACGAGUGAUAGACUGUCUCAGCAAAAAAAAAUUGAACUUAACUUUAAAGUGAAAAGGCUUUAAUAUUUCAGAAAGACGAUAAGACCCUAUAAAUCUUCACACCACCUUUUAUACUAAGCCAAUCUGUUUGUAUAAGGAGAAGUAUAAAAAACGUGUUUUGUUGGGGCAACAAAGAUAUAAUUAAAUAACUGUUUUAAUUUUAAAACAAAAAUUUUUGAAAAUAAAUUGAUCCUCUCUAAAGAUUAAAAGAUCAAGUUACUUUAGGGAUAACAGCGUCAUUUUUCUUGAGAGUUCCCAUCGAAAGAAAAGUUUGCGACCUCGAUGUUGAAUUAAAAUUUCUUCAUAAUGCAGCAGUUAUGAAAGAAAGUCUGUUCGACUUUUAAAAUUUUACAUGAUUUGAGUUCARACCGGCGCGAGCCAGGUUGGUUUCUAUCWAA